AUGAGCAGUACUUCGGGCCAGGGACCCGGCUCACUGUGCUGGGUGAGCGGGGACGCUGCCGCCGGGGACGCGGCGGGUUUUUGCGCGGCGCUGGGGGGCCGUGACUCAGCCCCAGUACUUCGGGCCGGGCACGCGGCUCCUGGUGCUAGACGACCUGAGCAAGGUGACCCCACCCAAGGUGGCUGUGUUCGAACCGUCAGAAGCUGAGAUCUCCCGGACCCAGAAGGCCACGCUCGUGUGCCUGGCCACGGGCUUCUACCCCGACCACGUGGAGCUGAGCUGGUGGGUGAACGGGAAGCAGGUCAAGACAGGGGUCAGCACGGACCCUCAGCCCCACAAGGAGGACCCCAGCCGCAGUGACUCCAGCUACUGUCUGAGCAGCCGGCUGAGGGUCUCCGCCCCCUUCUGGUACAACCCUCGCAACCUCUUCCGCUGCCAAGUCUGGUUCCACGGGGUCUCGGACGAGGACGAGUGGAAGCAGGACGGGCCCAAACCCGUCACCCAGAACAUCAGUGCCGAGGUCUGGGGCCGAGCAGACUGUGGCUUCACCUCGGUGUCCUAUCAGCAAGGGGUCCUGUCUGCCACCAUCCUCUAUGAGAUCCUGCUGGGGAAGGCCACCGUCUAUGCUGUGCUGGUCAGCGCCCUGGUGCUGAUGGCCAUGGUCAAGAGAAAGGAUUCCUGAAGCCAGCUUAGAGGUGGAGCCAAGAGCUUCCAGCCUGUUCUUGCCCUGAUGUGAAUUCUGCUUUUUCCAUUCCUACCCAGUGCUUCAGAAGAGGUGCUCUCAUCUCUCCACACAUCCCAGUAUCUACCCCUGUGUGCAUGCGCCCCACACACUCAUGACCAAAAUCUCCCUAGCCCAAGGGGGACCCUGGCGGGCCUGAACUGAUUCAACCAAUAAA